AUACCUUAUUUGAUACCGGUUCUACCCAUUCUUUUAUUUCUCCUACUUGCGCUCAACGUUUAAAUUUGACUCCGGAGAAAUUGGACUUUGACUUAUCUGUUAAAACUCCAUUGGGAGAAACCUUCAUUACAUCCAUUGUUUAUAAGUCUUGUUUAGUUCAAAUCGGCAACCACACGUUACCUGUUGAUCUUAUUUCUUUGAAAAUACUUG
rnacentral:lncRNA from 1 species